UUCUUGGACUCUGUGAGGCUGAGAACCCCAGGUCACAGGACACGAGGCUUGCCACCAUCUUGGAAGCAGUCUGCCACCAUUUUGGAAGCGGUCCACCACCAUCUUGGGAGCUCUGGGAGCAAGGACCACCCGGUAACAAUAGGCCAACUACUAUACUGAUAAGCUUGAAAGCCUGCCCUGAAUCCUCAUCUAUUGAUGGAGAUGGUGUCAUCUUGCCUUGAUUGUAUCCAGAAGCUUCAUCCCCAAGAUAAAGGAUGGACACCUCUCAGAUGACCAGCUUCUUUUGCUCGACUCUAGAGAAGGUUGCUUUCUGCAUUCUGGCAACUGCCCUCUGUCUACAUGAUUAGACUCGUUGGUUGCAGUGCUUUCUGGAGUAAUGAAGGGAUCCAGUGCACAGGGCUUAACUUACUGGGCACAGUCUCUAAGCCACCUCCGCCUGAAUGGGUCCCCUGUUUUUUCUCUUCUGCUCUUGUUGAACCAUAUCGCUGUUCCUUGUGCUCCAGGGAAUUUCUUGCUCUGGUCAUGAAAAAAAUGGAAACUCUCUCAAGGACUAACAAUCAGAGCUGUCUGGUUGACAAGGGACGUUAUGGUUGCAAGAACACCCUGAAGCAAGGAUUCUACAUCAAAGAUUCAGG